rnacentral:rRNA from 1 species
GCUCAGAUUGAACGCUAGCAGGGGAUGCCUUACACAUGCAAGUCGAACGGCAGCACGGACUUCGGUCUGGUGGCGAGUGGCGAACGGGUGAGUAAUGUAUCGGAACGUGCCUAGUAGCGGGGGAUAACUACGCGAAAGCGUAGCUAAUACCGCAUACGCCCUACGGGAAAGCAGGGGAUCGCCAGACCUUGCACUAUUAGAGCGGCCGAUAUACGGAUUAGCUAGUUGGUGGGGUAACGGCUCACCAAGGCGACGAUCCGUAGCUGGUUUGAGAGGACGACCAGCCACACUGGGACUGAGACACGGCCCAGACUCCUACGGGAGGCAGCAGUGGGGAAUUUUUGGACAAUGGGGGAAACCCUGAUCCAGCCAUCCCGCGUGUGCGAUGAAGGCCUUCGGGUUGUAAAGCACUUUUGGCAGGAAAGAAACGUCAUGGGUUAAUACCCCGUGAAACUGACGGUACCUGCAGAAUAAGCACCGGCUAACUACGUGCCAGCAGCCGCGGUAAUACGUAGGGUGCAAGCGUUAAUCGGAAUUACUGGGCGUAAAGCGUGCGCAGGCGGUUCGGAAAGAAAGAUGUGAAAUCCCAGAGCUUAACUUUGGAACUGCAUUUUUAACUACCGGGCUAGAGUGUGUCAGAGGGAGGUGGAAUUCCGCGUGUAGCAGUGAAUGCGUAGAUAUGCGGGAGGAACACCGAUGGCAAAGGCAGCCUCCUGGGAUAACACUGACGCUCAUGCACGAAAGCGUGGGGAGCAAACAGGAUUAUAUACCCUGGUAGUCCACGCCCUAAACGAUGUCAACUAGCUGUUGGGGAAUUCGGGCCUUAGUAGCGCAGCUAACGCGUGAAGUUGACCGCCUGGGGAGUACGGUCGCAAGAUUAAAACUCAAAGGAAUUGACGGGGACCCGCACAAGCGGUGGAUGAUCGUGGAUUAAUUCGAUGCAACGCGAAAAACCUUACCUACCCUUGACAUGUCUGGAAUUCCGAAGAGAUUUGGAAUGCUCGCAAGAGAACCGGAACACAGGUGCUGCAUGGCUGUCGUCAGCUGUGUCGUGCGAUGUUGGGUUAAGUCCCGCAACGAGCGAAACCCUUGUCAUUAGUUGCUACGAAAGGGCACUCAAUCAGACUGCCGGUGACAAACCGGAGGAAGGUGGGAUGACGUCAAGUCCUCAUGGCCCUUAUGGGUAGGGCUUCACACAGUCAUACAAUGGUCGGGACAGAGGGUCACCCAACCCACAGAGGGAGCCAAUCCCAGAAACCCGAUACGUAGUCCGGAAUCGCAGUCUGCAACUCGACUGCGUGAAGUCGGAAUCGCUAGUAAUCGCGGAUCAGCAUGUCGCGGUGAAUACGUUCCCGGGUCUUGUACACAGGCCGCCCGUCACACCAUGGGAGUGGGUUUUACCAGAAGUACGUUAGCCUAAGCCGUAAGGGGGCGAUUACCACGGUAGGAUUCAUGACUG